UACGUAGGGGGCAAGCGUUGUCCGGAAUUAUUGGGCGUAAAGCGCGCGCAGGCGGUCUUUUAAGUCUGGUGUCUAAGUGCGGGGCUCAACCCCGUGAUGCACUGGAAACUGGGAGACUUGAGUGCAGAAGAGGAGAGCGGAAUUCCACGUGUAGCGGUGAAAUGCGUAGAGAUCCGGAGGAAGACCGGUGGCGAAGGCGGUCUGCUGGGCAGUUUCUGACACUGAGGCGCGGACAGCGUGGGGAGCGAACAGG
rnacentral:rRNA from 1 species